AGUGAACGCUGGCGGUAGGCCUAACACAUGCAAGUCGAACGGCAGCACAGUAAGAGCUUGCUCUUACGGGUGGCGAGUGGCGGACGGGUGAGGAAUACAUCGGAAUCUACUUUUUCGUGGGGGAGAACGUAGGGAAACUUACGCUAAUACCGCAUACGACCUACGGGUGAAAGCAUGGGAUCUUCGGACCUUGCGCGAUUGAAUGACCCGAUGUCGGAUUAGCUAGUUGGCGGGGUAAAGGCCCACCAAGGCGACGAUCCGUAGCUGGUCUGAGAGGAUGAUCAGCCACACUGGAACUGAGACACGGUCCAGACUCCUACGGGAGGCAGCAGUGGGGAAUAUUGGACAAUGGGCGCAAGCCUGAUCCAGCCAUACCGCGUGGGUGAAGAAGGCCUUCGGGUUGUAAAGCCCUUUUGUUGGGAAAGAAAAGCAGCAGGUUAAUACCCCGCUGUUCUGACGGUACCCAAAGAAUAAGCACCGGCUAACUUCGUG
rnacentral:rRNA from 1 species